AUAUGUAAACUAUUCAUUCAAGAUUAUUUGUUCUCUCUCGUAUCUCAGAUGUAAACCACUUUCCGAAAUAGAUGAACCCUAAUUUUUCUGAUUUAUUUUUUUUCCUUCUGGUCUUCUUGAAGACAACAAAGAACUGGAUCAUCUCUUAGUCUUUCUCGUUCUUUCACUCAUGAAGGCUCCGUGAAUCCAAAGCUCAGGCAAGCUCUGGAAGAAGCAUCAGAAGAUGGUUUAUUCGAGUUCCUCCUCUGCGACUUCGCCUCCGUGACUUCACCGGGUUUUCAUGUCACCAUUCCGCCUCGUCUCCGUCAGCCACGACCACCGAUGACGGGUAUUCCACCAUCAUCGUUGAGAGAAGAAAGAGUCAGAGAGAUGUUGGAGCUAACAUGUUAGAAACCAAGCUCUGAACUGGAUUCUAAAGGUUUGACCUUUCUUGAAUCCAAGCUAUGGAGAAGAAGAAACCAAUCCAUGGAGAAACCAAACCAUGAUGGAGUUUGCUAAACUCCUAUCUCGAUUGAAUCCCAAUCUCCACUGUUUUUGAUUCAUUUCGACCUAAUUAAUGGUAUUUGUUUCGCGGCCAUUGUCUCUUAGCCACCGCCUCCACACAUCCUUGUUCCCAAGAUCAUCAGUUGUCGACAUGAAAGAAAGGAGGAGAUUUGAAGAUUCAGAUGGCAUCAUUCAGUUGGGGGUCGUCAUCUGUGAAGACUUGAGCGCAGCAAAUAGAGGAGAGUUACUAGCUGCAGCUUGCGCUAGCGUUGCGAUUUUGGACUGAGGCUAUUUAUGCCUUCUUACGUCGAAGAUUCAAACUCUCUGAAUCAUGUGUUGGACGAGUCUACGACUUCACCAAGUUCUGAAACCGUUUCACAUCGUUUCUGGGUAUUGUUUUAAUUGCAUCUUCUUCCUUCAUGUUUAUCUUUGUGUUCACUGGAGUUUUACCUACUAGAGAAUUGGCCAAGCAGGUAAUGAUCUUAAGCAAGUUUGUUUUGUUUCUUUUCUUGAAGUUUUGUUGAUGGUGUGGUGUUUGCUGACUUUGAUGUAUAUGGUGGAGCUGUUGGAUUAGCUUCUUGUUGUGUAUGUGUAUGUGGAGGGGAUCCCUACCAGCCUCAGGAGCAUAAAUUCAAGAGAGGUGUUGACAUUGUAGUUGAGACACCUGGUCGCAUCAAGGUUUUUCAAGGACUUGGUUUCCCUUGAAGUAUUCGACAGUGACAAACAAGGGUAUCAAAAGCAUAUGUCGUGGUUUUGAUCUAGUCCACAACUUGUGGUGAGUGUUUUGUUGAGGUUUUGGUAACAUGAGUCUAUGUCUACGGUUUUUUCGUAUUCUUAUUUUGUUAAUAUGAAUUCAUGUCCACGUUUUUCUUAUCUUGUCCACAUGAGUCAUUGUCCACAUUAGUCUGUCCACAUGUGUAUGUGUCCAUGUCCACAUGAGGCUAUGUCCACAUGACUCUAUGUCUUCUUUUGUUAACAUGCCCAAAAGCUUCUUUUUUUUCUUUUUUGGUGAGUUUCUUGGUAACACGAUUCAUGUCCACGUUUUGUGGUAUGAAGUUGUCCACAUGUUGA